rnacentral:misc_RNA from 1 species
GCAAACUUGGUCAUUUAGAGGAAGUAAAAGUCGUAACAAGGUCUCCGUUGGUGAACCAGCGGAGGGAUCAUUACCGAGUUUACAACUCCCAAACCCAAUGUGAACGUUACCAAACUGUUGCCUCGGCGGGGUCACGCCCCGGGUGCGUAAAAGCCCCGGAACCAGGCGCCCGCCGGAGGAACCAACCAAACUCUUUCUGUAGUCCCCUCGCGGACGUAUUUCUUACAGCUCUGAGCAAAAAUUCAAAAUGAAUCAAAACUUUCAACAACGGAUCUCUUGGUUCUGGCAUCGAUGAAGAACGCAGC